rnacentral:rRNA from 1 species
UACGAAGGGGGCAAACGUUGCUCGGAAUCAUUGGGCGUAAAGCGCACGUAGGCGGCCUCAUAAGUCGGAUGUGAAAUCCCACGGCUCAACCGUGGAAGUGCAUCCGAAACUGCGAGGCUCGAGUAUGGAAGAGGGUCGCAGAAUUCCCGGUGGAGAGGUGAAAUUCGUAGAUAUCGGGAGGAAUACCAGUGGCGAAGGCGGCGACCUGGGCCAAUACUGACGCUGAGGUGCAAAAGCGUGGGGAGCAAACAGG